rnacentral:rRNA from 1 species
CAGCAGCCGCGGUAAUACAGAGGGUGCAAGCGUUAAUCGGAAUUACUGGGCGUAAAGCGCGCGUAGGUGGUUUGUUAAGUUGGAUGUGAAAUCCCCGGGCUCAACCUGGGAACUGCAUCCAAAACUGGCAAGCUAGAGUAUGGUAGAGGGUGGUGGAAUUUCCUGUGUAGCGGUGAAAUGCGUAGAUAUAGGAAGGAACACCAGUGGCGAAGGCGACCACCUGGACUGAUACUGACACUGAGGUGCGAAAGCGUGGGGAGCAAACAGGAUUAGAUACCCCGGUAGUCCCUGUCUCUUAUAU